CCAGACUCCUACGGGAGGCAGCAGUUAAGAAUAUUCCGCAAUGGACGAAAGUCUGACGGAGCGACGCCGCGUGGAUGAAGAAUGCCGAAAGGUUGUAAAAUCCUUUUAAGCCUGAGGAAUAAGCACAGUAGGGAAUGAUUGUGUGGUGACUGUAGGGCUUGAAUAAGCACCGGCAAAUUACGUGCCAGCAGCCGCGGUAACACGUAAGGUGCGAGCGUUGUUCGGAAUUAUUGGGCGUAAAGGGCAUGUAGGCGGAUGAGCAAGCUUGGUGUGAAAUGCUACAGCUUAACUGUGGGACAGCAUUGAGAACUGCACAUCUUGAAUUACUGAAGGGUAACUAGAAUUCCACGUGUAGGGGUGAAAUCUGUAGAUAUGUGGAAGAAUACCAAUGGCGAAGGCAAGUUACCGGCAGAUAAUUGACGCUGAGGUGCGAAAGUGCGGGGAGCGAACAGGAUUAGAUACCCUGGUAGUCCGCACAGUAAACGAUGUACACUAGGUGUCUGGCAACAAAGCUGGGUGCCAAAGCAAACGUGGUAAGUGUACCGCCUGGGGAGUAUGCCCGCAAGGGUGAAACUCAAAGGAAUUGACGGGGGCCCGCACAAGAAGG
rnacentral:rRNA from 1 species